GGCCCGUAGCCCAGUAUGGAUUAAGGCGCCGAAUCGUUGAGCCGGAGAACAGGGGUUCAAAUCCCCUCGGGCC
rnacentral:tRNA from 1 species